AGAGUCCCGUUAGAGUCUCUAUUCCUAGCGAGUGUAUUGCUCCUAUGGAUUGUCUUUUCUCCCGAUGUCUUUUCUUCUUUUUGGACGCAUAUCCCCCACAGAGUUUGUUUGUUUUGCAUACAUUUGCAUCAUGAGGUCUCUCAGGGACCAACAUUUGUCUCUUUGUUAUUAUUUAAGCCCAUUCUACCUCGUCGAGAUGAAGAUUUUAACCUUCAUUUCUCCGGCUAGAAUGACCUUAAAUAGGGGCAUC
rnacentral:lncRNA from 1 species